rnacentral:tRNA from 1 species
GCUCUCGUAGCGCAGGGGUUUAUGCGUGUGAUUGUAACGCAACGGUUGUGGAUUCGAUUCCCACCCGAGAGAA